rnacentral:rRNA from 1 species
AUGGGGAGGAAAUUGCCCGCUCUUGCUCCGGCCGGGGCGGCGGCGGCGGGAAGGAAGCGAAAAGGUGCCACCUUGACAACGCUCGCCGCGUGCAAGCGCCCUGCGCGGGCGCAAGUAAUCGGCGGCUGGGCGUCCCUGCCCACCGACAUAGUUGGCCUCAUCACCUGCCGGCUCCUGGCCGGCGACGGCGACGGCGACGUGGUUGAUUACAUCGCCUUCCGCGCCGUCUGCUCCGGCUGGCGCGCCUGCACGCCCACGGCGCGCGACCCCACUCUGCGGGAUCCCCGCCUACGCCCGCGCGGCUGGGUCGCUCUCUGUGACGGCGACGCCGUCCGCCUAGACGAUGCCUGCGAGAUCGUCUUCUUCCACACGCGCACGGCCAGGCGCCUCCGCGUCCUCCUCCCGGAGCUCCGGCAACACAGGAUCGUUGGCUUCACCGACGGACUCCUCAUCCUCGUGCACAAGCGCACCACCGAGGUCCGCGUGCUGCAUCCCUUCACGCGCGUCGUGGUCGAUUUCCCGCCCCUCGCCCCGGUGUACCACGCGGUAGUCAGGCGGAUGAAGCUGCUCGACAUGAGCGCCGCGAUAUGCAGCAGCGCGUCCUCGGCGACCUCCAUUGCCGUGGUGGUCUGGUUCCUCUGCACAAGUGUGGUGCUCGGCGCCGACCCGGGUUCAGAUUGGGCCGAGGAACCCCUCGAGAAUUCUGUGGUGGUUGCUCAUGCUCCAUAUUUUGCUGAUCGCCUGUAUAGCGAUUUUCUACUCGUGGAGUCUGGUGGAAGGAUGCUGCUCGUCGUCCGGCACCCAGCUCCUGGCGACCGCUCGCUGUUUCUCAGCGGUGACCGAUGCCUGUCUGUUUCGGCCAGGGACCUCCCAACCUUGAGCAGCAACUCCAUCUACUUCAGUCUACCAUGGGACCCCAUUGUGUUGCAUUCGCUGGGGACUGGUUUGUCCGAGCGCUUAGCCGAGUCCUGCAAAAUACAUGACGGGAAGGACAGGAUACGCCCAUCUGUGCGCCCCUUCACCAUUGCUGAUCAUCUCAUGACCUACUGCCAUACUCCUGAGUGGUCUAAAGGACUCAUGUUCCACGAGUACCAACACAUACCUGAAUCUUUCAAGGAACUGAUUAAGAACAUCCGGGCACAGGAUGCGCAAGUGCGGAUUCCACGUAUUGGUUGA